rnacentral:rRNA from 1 species
UACCUGCAGCUCGAGUGGUAACCGCUAUUAUUGGGCCUAAAGCGUCCGUAGCCGGUUUGGUAAAUAUCUGGGUAAAUCGUGAGGCUUAACUUCACGAAUUUCGGAUGGACUGCCAGACUUGGGAUCGGGGGAGGUCAGAGGUACUCCAGGGGUAGCGGUGAAAUGUUGUAAUCCUUGGAGGACCACCGGUAGCGAAGGCGUCUGACUAGAACGAGUCCGACGGUGAGGGACGAAGCCCUGGGGCGCAAACCGGAUUAGAUACCCGGGUAGUCCAGGGUGUAAACUAUGUGGGCUUUGUAUUGGAGGUCCCACGUGGGCGUCCAGUGCAGAAGAGAAGUUGUUAAGCCCACCGCCUGGGAAGUACGGUCGCAAAGCUGAAACUUAAAGGAAUUGGCGGGGGAGCACAGCAACGGGAGGAGCGUGCGGUUU